GGCGUGCCUAAUACAUGCAAGUCGAGCGAACGGACGAGAAGCUUGCUUCUCUGAUGUUAGCGGCGGACGGGUGAGUAACACGUGGAUAACCUACCUAUAAGACUGGGAUAACUUCGGGAAACCGGAGCUAAUACCGGAUAAUAUUUUGAACCGCAUGGUUCAAAAGUGAAAGACGGUCUUGCUGUCACUUAUAGAUGGAUCCGCGCUGCACUAGCUAGUUGGUAAGGUAACGGCUUACCAAGGCAACGAUGCAUAGCCGACCUGAGAGGGUGAUCGGCCACACUGGAACUGAGACACGGUCCAGACUCCUACGGGAGGCAGCAGUAGGGAAUCUUCCGCAAUGGGCGAAAGCCUGACGGAGCAACGCCGCGUGAGUGAUGAAGGUCUUCGGAUCGUAAAACUCUGUUAUUAGGGAAGAACAUAUGUGUAAGUAACUGUGCACAUCUCGACGGUACCUAAUCAGAAAGCCACGGCUAACUACGUGCCAGCAGCCGCGGUAAUACGUAGGUGGCAAGCGUUAUCCGGAAUUAUUGGGCGUAAAGCGCGCGUAGGCGGUUUUUUAAGUCUGAUGUGAAAGCCCACGGCUCAACCGUGGAGGGUCAUUGGAAACUGGAAAACUUGAGUGCAGAAGAGGAAAGUGGAAUUCCAUGUGUAGCGGUGGAAUGCGCAGAGAUAUGGAGGAACACCAGUGGCGAAGGCGACUUUCUGGUCUGUAACUGACGCUGAUGUGCGAAAGCGUG
rnacentral:rRNA from 1 species